rnacentral:rRNA from 1 species
UACGGAGGGUGCAAGCGUUGUCCGGAUUUAUUGGGUUUAAAGGGUGCGUAGGCGGCCCGUUAAGUCAGCGGUGAAAUCCCGGGGCUCAACCCCGGAACUGCCGUUGAUACUGGCGGGCUUGAGUUCGGUCGAGGCGGGCGGAACUGGUGGUGUAGCGGUGAAAUGCAUAGAUACCACCAAGAACCCCGAUUGCGUAGGCAGCUCGCUAGGCCGAAACUGACGCUGAGGCACGAAAGCGUGGGGAGCGAACAGG